rnacentral:tRNA from 1 species
GCCUUCGUGGUGUAGAGGUCAGCACGCUCGACGCGUAACCGAGAGGUCCGUGGUUCGAUUCCCGGCGAAGACG